AUCCCCUCCUCACCUCUCAACCUCUCUCUCCUCUCUCUCUUUAGUUUAUUUUUUUUCUCAUUUUAAUAUCUGACGCCAUAAAUAUACUUUCUUUUUCGCUUUUUCGCUUUUUUUGGUACGCUACGAAACGGUCUUACUAAUUGAAUCUUUCUUUUCCUCUUAUUCUUCUGCUCUUCAUCUCCCACCAACAUCAACAACAACAACAAACCUUCUUAUUUUCCUUUCAGCCCUUCA
rnacentral:misc_RNA from 1 species